AACGAACGCUGGCGGCAUGCUUAACACAUGCAAGUCGAACGAGACCUUCGGGUCUUGUGGCGCACGGGUGCUUAACACGUGGUAACUUGCACUUAGGUUCGGUAUAACUCCCUGAAAGGUGUGUUAAUACCGGUUAAUGUAAUCGGACCAAAGAUGUAUCGCUUUUGGAUGGGGCCUCGUUGGAUUAGCUGGUUGGUAGGGUACAAGCCUAUUAAUGCGACGAUGCAUAGCUGGUCUGAGAGGAUGAUCAGCCACACUGGGACUUAGACACGGCCCAGACUCCUACGGGAGGCAGCGGUAGUGAAUAUUAGAGGAUGGGCGAAAGCCUGAGCCAGCAAUGGCGCGUGAGGGAGGAAGGCCUUUGGGUUGUAAAUCUCUUUUACCCGGGAUGAUAAUGACAGUACCGGGAUAAUAAGCUCCGGCUAACUCCGUG
rnacentral:rRNA from 1 species